GUGCUCACUUUGCUAGCACAUAUACAACAAAUAGGACGAUACAGAGAUUAUCAUGGUCUCUGCGCAAGGAUGAUCGCAAAUUCGUGAAGCAUUCCAUAUUUUA